rnacentral:rRNA from 1 species
GUCUAUGGCUAUGCCACCCUGAACGUGCCUGAUCUCUUCUGAUCUCUGAAGCUAAGCAGGAUUGGGCUUUGUUAGUACUUGGAUGGGAGACCAAGCUGGGAAUACCAGGUGCCGUAGGCA